GAGGUUGAACGGCCACAUUGGGACUGAGACACGGCCCAGACUCCUACGGGAGGCAGCAGUGGGGAAUAUUGCACAAUGGGGGAAACCCUGAUGCAGCGACGCCGCGUGGAGGAAGAAGGUCUUCGGGUCGUAAAAUUCUGUUGUCAGAGAAGAAUGUGCGUGAGAGUAACUGUUCACGUAUUGACGGUAUCUAACAAGGAAGUGACGGCUAACUACGUGCCAGCAGCCGCGGUAAAACGUAGGUCACAAGCGUUGUCCGGAAUUACUGGGUGUAAAGGGAGCGCAGGCGGGAAGACAAGUUGGAAGUGAAAUCCAUGGGCUCAACCCAUGAACUGCUUUCAAAACUGUUUUUCUUGAGUAGUGCAGAGGUAGGCGGAAUUCCCGGUGUAGCGGUGGAAUGCGUAGAUAUCGGGAGGAACACCAGUGGCGAAGGCGGCCUACUGGGCACCAACUGACGCUGAGGCUCGAAAGUGUGGGUAGCAAACAGGAUUAGAUACCCUGGUAGUCCACACUGUAAACGAUGAUUACUAGGUGUUGGAGGAUUGACCCCUUCAGUGCCGCAGUUAACACAAUAAGUAAUCCACCUGGGGAGUACGACCGCAAGGUUGAAACUCAAAGGAAUUGACGGGGGCCCGCACAAGCAGUGGAGUAUGUGGUUUAAUUCGACGCAACGCGAAGAACCUUACCAAGUCUUGACAUCCCUUGACGAUGCUGGAAACAGUAUUUCUCUUCGGAGCAAGGAGACAGGUGGUGCAUGGUUGUCGUCAGCUCGUGUCGUGAGAUGUUGGGUUAAGUCCCGCAACGAGCGCAACCCUUAUGGUCAGUUACUACGCAAGAGGACUCUGGCCAGACUGCCGUUGACAAAACGGAGGAAGGUGGGGAUGACGUCAAAUCAUCAUGCCCUUUAUGACUUGGGCUACACACGUACUACAAUGGCGUUAAACAAAGAGAAGCAAGACCGCGAGGUGGAGCAAAACUCAGAAACAACGUCCCAGUUCGGACUGCAGGCUGCAACUCGCCUGCACGAAGUCGGAAUUGCUAGUAAUCGCAGAUCAGCAUGCUGCGGUGAAUACGUUCCCGGGCCUUGUACACACCGCCCGUCACACCAUGAGAGCCGGGGGGACCCGAAGUCGGUAGUCUAACCGCAAGGAGGACGCCGCCGAAGGUAAAACUGGUGAUUGGGGUGAAGUCGUAACAAGGUA
rnacentral:rRNA from 1 species